GAUGAACGCUAGCGGCAGGCUUAACACAUGCAAGUCGAGGGGUAUAGUAGCAAUACUAGAGACCGGCGCACGGGUGCGUAACGCGUAUGCAAUCUACCUUUCACAGAGGGAUAGCCCAGAGAAAUUUGGAUUAAUACCUCAUAGUAUAGCAGUUUCGCAUGAAACCACUAUUAAAGUCACAACGGUGAAAGAUGAGCAUGCGUCCCAUUAGCUAGUUGGUAAGGUAACGGCUUACCAAGGCGACGAUGGGUAGGGGUCCUGAGAGGGAGAUCCCCCACACUGGUACUGAGACACGGACCAGACUCCUACGGGAGGCAGCAGUGAGGAAUAUUGGACAAUGGGCGCAAGCCUGAUCCAGCCAUGCCGCGUGCAGGAUGACGGUCCUAUGGAUUGUAAACUGCUUUUGCACAGGAAGAAACAACUCUACGUGUAGAGUCUUGACGGUACUGUGAGAAUAAGGAUCGGCUAACUCCGUGCCAG
rnacentral:rRNA from 1 species